rnacentral:rRNA from 1 species
UGGUAACCAUGGCGGACGGGUGAGUAACGCGUAAGGAACUUGCCUGCGGGACUGGGAUAACAGCAGGAAACUGCUGAUAAUACCGGAUAAGGUCAUUAAGCUGCAUAGCUUAGUGAUGAAAGGAGACGCCUGCGGAGAGCCUUGCGUCCUAUUAGCUAGUUGGAGGGGUAACGGCCCACCAAGGCGAAGAUAGGUAGCCGGCCUGAGAGGGUGGACGGCCACAAGGGGACUGAGAUACGGCCCUUACUCCUACGGGAGGCAGCAGUGGGGAAUAUUGGACAAUGGGGGCAACCCUGAUCCAGCAAUUCUGUGUGCACGAAGACGGUUUUCGGAUUGUAAAGUGCUUUCAGCAGGGAAGAAGGAAGUGACGGUACCUGCAGAAGAAGCGACGGCUAAAUACGUGCCGGCAGCCGCGGUAAUACGUAUGUCGCGAGCGUUAUCCGGAAUUAUUGGGCAUAAAGGGCAUCUAGGCGGCCUUUCAAGUCAGGGGUGAAAACCUGCGGCUCAACCGCAGGCCUGCCUUUGAAACUGAUAGGCUGGAGUACCGGAGAGGUGGACGGAACUGCACGAGUAGAGGUGAAAUUCGUAGAUAUGUGCAGGAAUGCCGAUGAU